UACGUAGGUGGCAAGUGUUAUCCGGAAUUAUUGGGCGUAAAGCGCGCGCAGGUGGUUUCUUAAGUCUGAUGUGAAAGCCCACGGCUCAACCGUGGAGGGUCAUUGGAAACUGGGAGACUUGAGUGCAGAAGAGGAAAGCGGAAUUCCACGUGUAGCGGUGAAAUGCGUAGAGAUGUGGAGGAACACCAGUGGCGAAGGCGGCUUCUGGUCGUGUAACUGACGCUGAGGCGCGAAAGCGUGGGGAGCAACAG
rnacentral:rRNA from 1 species